rnacentral:misc_RNA from 1 species
UACAGAGGGUGCGAGCGUUGUUCGGAAUCACUGGGCGUAAAGGGAGCGUAGGCGGCAUGGUAAGUCAGAUGUGAAAUCCCGGGGCUCAACCCCGGAACUGCAUCCGAUACUGCCGAGCUAGAGUAAUGGAGGGGUAGCUGGAAUUCUCGGUGUAGCAGUGAAAUGCGUAGAUAUCGAGAGGAACACUCGUGGCGAAGGCGAGCUACUGGACAUUUACUGACGCUGAGGCUCGAAGGCCAGGGUAGCGAAAGGG